AGUGGGGAAUCUUGGACAAUGGGGGCAACCCUGAUCCAGCCAUGCCGCGUGAGCGAUGAAGGCCUUCGGGUUGUAAAGCUCUUUCGUGGGGGAAGAUAAUGACUGUACCCCAAGAAGAAGCCCCGGCUAACUCCGUGCCAGCAGCCGCGGUAAUACGGAGGGGGCUAGCGUUGUUCGGAAUUACUGGGCGUAAAGCGCACGUAGGCGGACUGGAAAGUCAGGGGUGAAAUCCCGGGGCUCAACCCCGGAACUGCCUUUGAAACUCCCAGUCUUGAGGUCGAGAGAGGUGAGUGGAAUUCCGAGUGUAGAGGUGAAAUUCGUAGAUAUUCGGAGGAACACCAGUGGCGAAGGCGGCUCACUGGCUCGAUACUGACGCUGAGGUGCGAAAGCGUGGGGAGCAAA
rnacentral:rRNA from 1 species